CUACAGUAGCCCAGAUACUGCAGGCCAAAGACAUCGAAGGUGAGAGUCCAAGCUGGACCUGUUUCAACUGUGGUGUGAUUUGUCUCAUUGAGGAUGAAUCCAGGCGUUCCUAUUUCCUGCGUCUCUACUGUGUCAAGGUAAGAGGAACUAUCAAACUGCUCAGAGUUACUCCACCCGCUCAGAUCUACACACAGCGAUACGUGCACACCACUUCCCAGUUCAUUUUGUUCUCUUGGCUUUUCUGUGUGUCUACUAGAACAGUUGCUCACGUAGGACGGCUUGAAGUGUUUCCUCUAACUUUCAGCGUUCCUCAUUAACAAUAGAAAGUCUUAUGAUGAUGGGUGUGCCUGGUUCUUUACCUUGUGUGACUCUAACAGCUGUUCAUAAACACCAUUCCCUACAUCCUGACCUCAUCUACCCUCAUACACAGCGAGCCAAGUUACUGUGGGAGCAGGAGUUGUACAUUCCUUUCACGUACACUGCAGCUCGCACAUUCUUCCACACGUUUCCUGCAGAGGGCAAACAGAUGGGCCUCAACUUUGCAAAUGAGAUCGAGGCAGAAGAAUUUUAUCUUGCAGUUGAGGCAGCACACGGUCAGAAUAUCAACAAACAGAUGUGUGCCAGCAGAUGUAAAAUCUGUAUAUGGUCUCUUCACAUGACAGAAGAUCAAAAGAAAAAAUGAUCAGCAUGAUUGCCAUAGCAAAUGUGAAAACAGCCUCAACAAGUGACCCACCUCAUUUAGGAUCUGAAGCUGCUGAAAGUUUGGAUGAGGAGAAAUAUUUCCUCAUGGAUGCACUUUCCACCACAGUUCCUCCAACCACAAGCUCAUUUAAGGACCUGGAUCCUGCUAUGAGUAGGCUGUUAAUGCAGGCAAGACUCACUGAAGAAGACCUUAAAGACAAGGACAUUGCUGAGGCUGCUGACCAUAUCAUCAGCCAGUUUGGAGGACUGAAGGCUGUGCAGCAAGAGCUGAGCAACAGAGGUUCUGUGUCUCAGACAUUGCCAAGAGCUGCAGGGGCGUCCAUCUCCCCGACUCUGAAGAAAGGACCUUUGCCACCGUCCCCUCCAUUAAAGAUAGUAGGAGGGGGAGGAAAGGAAUGAGGGAGACAGAGAAAAGGGGAGAAAAUUAGAGGGGAUUAGGGUAGUAGAAGUGGGGUUACAGAAGAUGAAUGGGGAAGGGAGGCUGGGAAACAAGAGGAAAAUGAAAUGGGGUCUGGUUGGAGGAGCCAGAUUAAAGGGUAAUAGAGGUGAGAUGGAGAGCGAAGGGAUGAGGGUUGGAGGGGAUGAUGGAAGGAGGGUGGAGUGAUGAAAAUGAGAGACAGAAGAAGGAUGGCAGAGAGGAUAGGGAAGACAAAGACCUGAAAUCCCUUUGUAGCAGGUCCAGUAAUUCUGGAAAAAUCUUAACUUACUGUUGAAGGUAUUUAUGUCCUUUACUGGAAGGCUGUGCAACCUUCAACUAAAAGAAUAUUUUAAAAGACACUCUGAGGAUGUAAUAUUUGGGGAUUUGCACCAUGUAAGCACACAUGAAAAAAGAAAUACCUGGUUCCAUGGGAGGUAGGAGGGGUCAAGGCCACCUCUGAAAUCUCACUGGGCCAUGCCAGAUCUAAAGGGGUCCACUUCAUUAACUAAACUCCAAUGUCCAAUUUAGAAAUUAAUAUAAAAAUGUAAAAUAAAUUGAACCUUAAAAAAGCUUGUCCCUAUGGAAUCUGCAACAUUUGUUGGGUUUUAAUGUAUAUUUCUGUAAGUUUGUAGCUUUUGCUCUGUGUUCAUUGAGGUUAAUCUCCAUGAUAAUAUUAACACUGUAAGGAAUUGUAGUAAAUGCUGAAGUAAUUUUAUCUUUAACUUGGCCUCACCAUUGCCAUGGCCUGGUUUUGCUGCACUCUGCAUUAUCUGCAUUCCUCUGUUAAGGAGUCCCUAUUAUCUUCAUGAGAAAGAUAAGAGUAUAAUGUUUGAAGGACGAAAACUACAUGACACGUAUUGUGUUGUUUGAUUCAUUGGUCAGAUCUCCAAACACUAAACUGGUGUAUGAGCUCUGCCCUGCCAGCUGAAAUAUGUACUCUGUAUUUCUCUAUUUCAUUUUCCUCUAUUUAGUUUAAUAAUAAUA